AUUGAACGCUGGCGGCAGGCCUAACACAUGCAAGUCGAGCGGAUGAAGGGAGCUUGCUCCUGUAUUCAGCGGCGGACGGGUGAGUAAUGCCUAGGAAUCUGCCUGGUAGUGGGGGAUAACGUCCGUAAACGGGCGCUAAUACCGCAUCCGUCCUGAGGGAGAAAGUGGGGGAUCUUCGGACCUCACGCUAUCAGAUGAGCCUAGGUCGGAUUAGCUAGUUGGUGGGGUAAAGGCCUACCAAGGCGACGAUCCGUAACUGGUCUGAGAGGAUGAUCAGUCACACUGGAACUGAGACACGGUCCAGACUCCUACGGGAGGCAGCAGUGGGGAAUAUUGGACAAUGGGCGAAAGCCUGAUCCAGCCAUGCCGCGUGUGUGAAGAAGGUCUUCGGAUUGUAAAGCACUUUAAGUUGGGAGGAAGGGCAGUAAGUUAAUACCUUGCUGUUUUGACGUUACCAACAGAAUAAGCACCGGCUAACUUCGUG
rnacentral:rRNA from 1 species